rnacentral:tRNA from 1 species
CCUUCGAUAGCUCAGCUGGUAGAGCGGAGGACUGUAGAGGUCCUGCUCCAUGGUAAUCCUUAGGUCGCUGGUUCGAUUCCGGCUCGAAGGA